AUCGAACGCUGGCGGCAGGCUCAACACAUGCAAGUCGAGCGGGGUGAUGGUGCUUGCACUAUCACUUAGCGGCGGACGGGUGAGUAAUGCUUAGGAAUCUGCCUAUUAGUGGGGGACAACAUCUCGAAAGGGAUGCUAAUACCGCAUACGUCCUACGGGAGAAAGCAGGGGAUCACUUGUGACCUUGCGCUAAUAGAUGAGCCUAAGUCGGAUUAGCUAGUUGGUGGGGUAAAGGCCUACCAAGGCGACGAUCUGUAGCGGGUCUGAGAGGAUGAUCCGCCACACUGGGACUGAGACACGGCCCAGACUCCUACGGGAGGCAGCAGUGGGGAAUAUUGGACAAUGGGGGGAACCCUGAUCCAGCCAUGCCGCGUGUGUGAAGAAGGCCUUAUGGUUGUAAAGCACUUUAGGCGAGGAGGAGGCUCUUUUGGUUAAUACCCAAGAUGAGUGGACGUUACUCGCAGAAUAAGCACCGGCUAACUCUGUGCCAGCCGCCGCCGUAA
rnacentral:rRNA from 1 species